UACGUAGGGUGCAAGCGUUGUCCGGAAUUAUUGGGCGUAAAGAGCUCGUAGGCGGUGUGUCACGUCGGCCGUGAAAACCCGCGGCUUAACCGCGGGCCUGCAGCCGAUACGGGCAGGCUAGAGUUCGGUAGGGGAGACUGGAAUUCCUGGUGUAGCGGUGAAAUGCGCAGAUAUCAGGAGGAACACCGGUGGCGAAGGCGGGUCUCUGGGCCGAUACUGACGCUGAGGAGCGAAGGCGUGGGGAGCGAACAGG
rnacentral:rRNA from 1 species